CCUACGGGUGGCAGCAGUGGGGAAUAUUGGACAAUGGGCGAAAGCCUGAUCCAGUCAUGCCGCGUGUGUGAAGAAGGCCUUCGGGUUGUAAAGCACUUUCAGUGGGGAAGAAAGCCUUGGGGCUAAUACCCUCGAGGAAGGACAUCACCCACAGAAGAAGCACCGGCUAACUCCGUGCCAGCAGCCGCGGUAAUACGGAGGGUGCGAGCGUUAAUCGGAAUUACUGGGCGUAAAGCGCGCGUAGGCGGUCUGAUAAGCCGGUUGUGAAAGCCCCGGGCUCAACCUGGGAACGGCAUCCGGAACUGUCAGGCUAGAGUGCAGGAGAGGAAGGUAGAAUUCCCGGUGUAGCGGUGAAAUGCGUAGAGAUCGGGAGGAAUACCAGUGGCGAAGGCGGCCUUCUGGACUGACACUGACGCUGAGGUGCGAAAGCGUGGGUAGCAAACAGGAUUAGAUACCCGGGUAGUC
rnacentral:rRNA from 1 species